CGGUAUCAUGUCACGUAUAUAAAGCACUUCACUCUGAUAUUUUAUUAACAUAAAAAAAUUAAGCUAAAGUUUGCAGGGAGUUAGAAAAUAUGGUACCGAUAACCACCUACUUCUUGUUAUUCAUCUCCUCUGUUUUCUACGUUUUUUGGGAUACUCGAGUUGUGCUAGAAGAUUAUGCUGCUCGUCAAGAUCGUCUUGGGUUUCCAUUGACUUACACCAUCAGCCACCAUGACUAUCCAAUCAUUAUGUGAAUUUCCAUAGCUGCAUGCAUGUGAUCUCUUCUUUUUCCACUGUCCACUUUUAGAUGUAGAUCACAACUUAGUGUAUCUCUGGAUUAACAUCGACUUAACAAAAUUUCGGUGAUACUGUGAUUUUGUAGAAACUACAAAAUGUAAUUUAUAUCAAAAUUGCAGUGAUUUACUGCAAUUUUGUUAAUUUUACCGUUAAUUUAAAAUUUCUUUUAGAUAAAUUUUAGUAAAUUAGUAGCUUACAUUAGUUUUAGUUUUAAGAUAUGUGUAGUUAUAAUUAGUCCUGCAGAUAGAAUCGUGUUGUUGAAGUGAAUUCUAGAGGUAGUAGCUAGUGUAUUUUUCGCUAUGGUUUGUCUCUGAAUCGUCAAGUAAGUUUUUUUUAUUGUAAUCACAAGUUGAUUGCUUUUGUUUAUUUAUGAGUCUCUCUAACAAAAUAUUUUUCUUUUUAAAUGUUUGAGGUAGAUAUUUGAUUCUCGGAAUUUGAACUCAUUUAAAACAGAAAUAUUUUGAUAUUAAAUUUGGAAUUUCUUUUUGCCUUAGAAAUGUUAAACUUAGAACACAACUCGGAGAUUAUUG
rnacentral:lncRNA from 1 species